rnacentral:rRNA from 1 species
AAAUCUCUCAGCUUAACUGGGAAACUGCCAUUGAUACUGUUAGUCUUGAAUUCGGUCGAAGUGGGCGGAAUGUGUCAUGUAGCGGUGAAAUGCAUAGAUAUGACACAGAACACCGAUAGCGAAGGCAGCUCACUAGGCCUGAAUUGACGCUCAGGGACGAAAGCGUGGGGAGCGAACAGGAUUAGAUACCCUGGUAGUCCACGCCGUAAACGAUCAUUACUCGAUAUCAGCGAUAUACAGUUGGUGUCUAAGCGAAAGUGAUAAGUAAUGCACCUGGGGAGUACGAUCGCAAGGUUGAAACUCAAAGGAAUUGACGGG